CUCGAAUUAAAAAGAGCUAUAAUUAUAGAAAUUUAAUUGUUGCAUAACUUUUUAUAAUAUAAUUAUAGAAAUGAAACGUUAGUCGUUUUUUAAGAUAUCUAGUUUCUUAAGAAAUAAAUUCAAUUUAGUUUUUUUAAUUUUAUAUGUGAUUAAUUUUGUAGUUACAUAUUUAAAAAAUGUAAUAUUUUAAGGGAUGAGCUUUAAAAUAAAUUAUUAAAAAUCAAGUAUAGUUGAAUAGAAAAUUGGUAGGAUUGGAAAUGUUUAUCUGUAGUUUGUUAUAAUUAAUUUUUUAUUGAAUAAGAUUUAUAUAGAUUUUAAUUAAUUUAUUAAGAAUAUAUAUAUAAUAUUAUAUUAUAUGGUAUAAUGAUAAAAUUAGUAUAGAUUAUUGUAUAGAGUAGUUUAUGAUUUAGGUUAAGUUAAGGAACUCGGCAAAUCUAUUUUCCGCCUGUUUAUUAAAAACAUGUCUUUUUGAUUAUAAUUUAAAGUCUAACCUGCCCAAUGAGGAGUUAAAUGGCCGCGGUACACUGACCGUGCAAAGGUAGCAUAAUCAUUAGUUUUUUAAUUGAAAGCUGGAAUGAACGGUUGGACGAGAAAAUAACUGUCUCAAUUUAAUUUUUAAUAGAAUUUUAUUUAUAAGUAAAAAAGCUUAUAUAAAUUUAAAAGACGAGAAGACCCUAUAGAAUUUUAUAUUUAUAUAUAUAUAUAUAUUAUUAGAAUAUGGGAUUAUGUGUAUAUAUGUACGUAUUUUGUUGGGGCGAUGGAAAAAUUUAAUAAACUUUUUUUAUAUUAAAACAUUGAUUUAUGUGUAAGUGAUCCGUUUUUUACGAUUAUAAGAUUAAAUUACCUUAGGGAUAACAGCGUAAUUUUUUUCUAGAGUUCUUAUCGAAAAAAGAGUUUGCGACCUCGAUGUUGGAUUAAAAUUAACUUUUGGUGUAGGGGCUAAAAGGUUAGGUCUGUUCGA
rnacentral:rRNA from 1 species